GACGAACGCUGGCGGCGUGCUUAACACAUGCAAGUCGAACGGUGAAGCUCCAGCUUGCUGGAGUGGAUCAGUGGCGAACGGGUGAGUAACACGUGAGCAACCUGCCCCUGACUCUGGAAUAAGCGCUGGAAACGGCGUCUAAUACUGGAUACGAGAAGGGUCCGCAUGGGCACUUUCUGGAAAGUUUUUCGGUUGGGGAUGGGCUCGCGGCCUAUCAGCUUGUUGGUGAGGUAAUGGCUCACCAAGGCGACGACGGGUAGCCGGCCUGAGAGGGCGACCGGCCACACUGGGACUGAGACACGGCCCAGACUCCUACGGGAGGCAGCAGUGGGGAAUAUUGCACAAUGGGCGAAAGCCUGAUGCAGCGACGCCGCGUGGGGGAUGACGGCCUUCGGGUUGUAAACCUCUUUCAGCAGGGAAGAAGCGAAAGUGACGGUACCUGCAGAAGAAGCACCGGCUAACUACGUG
rnacentral:rRNA from 1 species